rnacentral:rRNA from 1 species
AAUCAACGCUGGCGGCGUGCCUCAGACAUGCAAGUCGAACGCGAAAGUUUCCUUCGGGGGAUGAGUAGAGUGGCGCACGGGUGAGUAACACGUAGGUAAUCUACCUUUGGAUGGGGAAUAACAAUCGGAAACGGUUGCUAAUACCGCAUAAUGCAGCGGCACCUAAUGGUGACAGUUGUUAAAGCGGGGGAUCGAAAGACCUCGCGUCUGAAGAGGAGCCUGCGGCGGAUUAGCUAGUUGGUAAGGUAACGGCUUACCAAGGCGACGAUCCGUAGCCGGCCUGAGAGGGCGGUCGGCCACACUGACACUGACAUACGGGUCAGACUCCUACGGGAGGCAGCAGUCGGGAAUUUUGGGCAAUGGGCGAAAGCCUGACCCAGCAACGCCGCGUGAAGGAUGAAAUCCCUCGGGAUGUAAACUUCGCAAGAACGGGAAGAAUAAGUAGGGGACAAUACCCCCUAUGAUGACGGUACGUUUGUAAGCUCCGGCUAACUUCGUGCCAGCCGCCGCCGUAAG